AUUGAACGCUGGCGGCAUGCCUUACACAUGCAAGUCGAACGGUAACAGGUCUUCGGAUGCUGACGAGUGGCGAACGGGUGAGUAAUACAUCGGAACGUGCCUAGUAGUGGGGGAUAACUACUCGAAAGAGUGGCUAAUACCGCAUGAGAUCUACGGAUGAAGGCAGGGGAUCGCAAGACCUUGUGCUACUAGAGCGGCCGAUGGCAGAUUAGGUAGUUGGUGGGAUAAAAGCUUACCAAGCCGACGAUCUGUAGCUGGUCUGAGAGGACGAUCAGCCACACUGGGACUGAGACACGGCCCAGACUCCUACGGGAGGCAGCAGUGGGGAAUUAUGGACAAUGGGCGCAAGCCUGAUCCAGCAAUGCCGCGUGCAGGAUGAAGGCCUUCGGGUUGUAAACUGCUUUUGUACGGAACGAAAAGCCCCGGGUUAAUACCCUGGGGUCAUGACGGUACCGUAAGAAUAAGCACCGGCUAACUACGUGCCAGCCGCCGCAGUAA
rnacentral:rRNA from 1 species